rnacentral:rRNA from 1 species
UAGGGAAUAUUGGACAAUGGGGGAAACCCUGAUCCAGCCAUGCCGCGUGAGGGAUGAAGGCCUUAGGGUUGUAAAGCUCUUUCGGCGGGGAAGAUAAUGACGGUACCCGCAGAAGAAGCCCCGGCUAACUCCGUGCCAGCAGCCGCGGUAAUACGGAGGGGGCUAGCGUUGUCCGGAAUUACUGGGCGUAAAGCGCGCGUAGGCGGUCCACCAAGUCGGGGGUGAAAGCCCGGGGCUCAACCCCGGAAUGUCCUCCGAGACUGUUGGACUGGAGUUCGGGAGAGGGUAGCGGAAUUCCAAGUGUAGAGGUGAAAUUCGUAGAUAUUGGGAAGAACACCGGUGGCGAAGGCGGCUCUCUGGCCCGCAACUGACGCUGAGGCGCGAAAGCGUGGGGAGCAAACA